AAGAAGCUGUAAUCAUCA
rnacentral:miRNA from 1 species